rnacentral:rRNA from 1 species
UACGUAGGGUGCGAGCGUUAAUCGGAAUUACUGGGCGUAAAGCGUGCGCAGGCGGUUCUCCAAGUCCGUUGUGAAAGCCCCGGGUUCAACCUGGGAAUGGCAGUGGAAACUAGGGGACUGGAAUCUGGCAGAGGGGGGUGGAAUGCCGCGUGUAGCAGUGAAAUGCGUAGAGAUGCGGCGGAACACCGCUGGCGAAGGCAGCCCCCUGGGCUGAGAUUGACGCUCAGGCACGAAAGCGUGGGGAGCGAACAGG